CCAAGCUCUGAGCUAUCAGCACAGAGCCUGAUGCGGGGCUUGAACUCACAAACCGUGAGAUCAUGACCUGAGCCGAAGUCAGUCGCUCAACUGACUGAGCCACCCAGGCACCCCAAGAUCCUAUUAUUUUUAACCUGAGUCUGCAGUUCAUAUAGCAGGCCCUGUUCCUGAUCUGCUUCACAGAGCCUAUCUCUAGCUAUACUGUUUGUCCACCUUAUAACUGGGUGAGCUUUGGGUAGAUAGGUACUUCUCACUGUCCAGCAGUCUUCAAUAAGGGUGCCAGUUGAGCUCACUCUUAUUUAAUUGGAGGCUGGUGCAGAAUAGGCAUCAGUCUGUGAAGAAGAUCAGCCCUCGGCCAGCUAUUUCAGUUCCUUACAGAUCAGCGUGUGUGCGGAUGAUAGAGGUCUCACGACUUGAACCAUAAGACAAUGAUCCUGUGGAUGUUUUCUCAUCUCUUGACUCGACUCUUCCUUUAUUCCUUCCUUCCUUCCUUCCUUCCUUCCUUCCUUCCUUCCUUCCUUCCUUCCUUCCUUCCUUCCUUCCACAGUCUUAUUCUUUUACCUCUUCUCCUCCCAGAUUUUCACAAAAGACUACUUGUUUUUUUUUCUGGAAUGCCACCUCUCCACAUGGAAAAGUGAAGACCUAGUUCAUUUGAUUUCUUCUUGUAGUUUUACUCUCAGGAAUAGAGAAGGGGGAGGGAAUAGGGCAAUGAUCUGUUUUUCACUUUUUUUGGCUAGAUAGCUACAGAUUCAGUUACCUCAUUAAAAAGGCGGCAGUGACUGGCAAAUCUUAAGACAAAACUUACCUUCACGUGGGGCACUUUGUCCUCUGCAUCUUAUAAGUUUAAUUCUAGCCACUGCUUCAUUUUCUCUUGCAGUAUAUUAGUCUUACAAAUUUCAUAGCCUCAGGUGUCCAUUUGGGGUCUGUAGCUUUAGCCCUUGCCUGGUUUCUGCUCUCUUUGUAGUUAGAAUCAUAUUUUAAUAUAACUAAAUCAUACCCCAGUAUUUUUUUUUCACAAUUCAGUGGUUUUUAGCAUAUUCACAAAGUUGUGCGACCAUCACCACAACCUAAGAACUUUUUCAUCACCUCAGUAAGAAACCACACAUCCAUUAGCUGUCACUCUUCAUUUCCCUUACUCUUCUGCCAGCCCUAAUUAACCACUCGUCUAUUUUCUGUCUCUGUAAUCUGUCAUUUCUACUGUUGGUAGAGAGGAUAAGUGCAGAUGGGGAGAAAGGUGAGCUCUGGUUCAGAAGUGAGCUUCUGCUUCUGAUUUCUGCUUAUCUGCCAUCCCCCAAACUUGAAGUUAAAUAAAACUCCUUGCCUCUUUGAAGAUGUUCUUCCAAAGAUUUCCAUCUGAUCUCCAAAAGAUAAUUAUACAUAAUAUCUGUAAAUGUAAAUAUAUUCCUAAAUGUACUCUUAUUUCAUAAGUUUAAUCUUAUUUCUUGUGAAUGAGUGAUCCUAGUGCACACACAUGCACACACACUCACCUGGCCUCUAUAUUUCAAAGCCUUCUUCAAAGCCAGACAAUGAAGGGCAUCAUGCCUCAAACACUGUCCCCUAAUUUCCUGAUUCCUAGGUUUUCCAAAUCAGGCUGCCAUACUUAUAUCUUGGUGAUUUUUAGAUAUCUCACAAUACUAAGUAACAGUAAAGAGUGGGAGUCAGUAGAAUGAACCAUGGGGAAUGACUUGGGGGAAACACCCCCUCUCUGCUGUGUAUACAAUUAGAAUUGACCAAGGAGAGACAAAGAGGGGUGGCAGGGCAGUAUGAGAAGGCUCUUUAGCAGUUAUCUUUUCCAGCUAGAGCAUCUUGGCCUACCUAGCAUCCCCACCCCUCCAGAGUGGUCCUUUGUGAUGUCUAAGCUCCCCUUAACCACCAUUGGCUGCAGUGAGUGCCCUGCUGACUAAACAGAGCAGAAGGGGUGUGACUCCCCAUUGUUCUGGGAGAGGUAUAUAUACAGAGGACAAACCCCUGGGGUUAGACAACUGAGAGGCUGCAAGAUGGCAAAAGUGGUGAAGAAAUCAUGGAAACCGCAAACCACAAGCACCAAGCGGUGGAAGAAGAGGAAGACCACCUCUCAACCCAGAUCAAGAGGCAUUAGCAAGGUGCUAAAGACAUACAAGAAGAUGAAAAAAUCACUUCACAUGAGUUUAAGAAAAAAAUACUCUCCUAAAGUUAUAACUACUUCAAGAAGAAAGAAGAGAGCAAGGAGGGCUAAUUAGUUUCACCCAUAGACUGAGCCAAAAGCAGCCAGGCCAGACCCAACGGACUCUAUAGAACUACACCACUCCAAGACAAGACCGGUGGAAACACUACAUACAGAGCAAGCUUCAGAGACCUCAGACGGUCUGCCUCUAGAGUCCUGGCUGUGGAGAAGUUGCCAACUGCGUAGAGACUGAUACAGAUGCUAAUAUGAAACAUGGAACACAAAUGGAGGUGAUUAAAAUAAAACCAACAGGGUGUAAGAAGCCCCUCCAAAAAAUAAAAUCAGGCAUUCUGCGUAGAAAUGAA